rnacentral:rRNA from 1 species
GAUGGACGCUGGCGGCGUGCCUAAUACAUGCAAGUCAAGCGAACAGACGAGGAGCUUGCUCCUCUGACGUUAGCGGCGGACGGGUGAGUAACACGUGGAUAACCUACCUAUAAGACUGGGAUAACUUCGGGAAACCGGAGCUAAUACCGGAUAAUAUAUUGAACCGCAUGGUUCAAUAGUGAAAGACGGUUUUGCUGUCACUUAUAGAUGGAUCCGCGCCGCAUUAGCUAGUUGGUAAGGUAACGGCUUACCAAGGCAACGAUGCGUAGCCGACCUGAGAGGGUGACCGGCCACCCUGGAACUGAGACACGGUCCAGACUCCUACGGGAGGCAGCAGUAGGGAAUCUUCCGCAAUGGGCGAAAGCCUGACGGAGCAACGCCGCGUGAGUGAUGAAGGUCUUCGGAUCGUAAAACUCUGUUAUUAGGGAAGAACAAAUGUGUAAGUAACUAUGCACGUCUUGACGGUACCUAAUCAGAAAGCCACGGCUAACUACGUG